rnacentral:rRNA from 1 species
AACGAACGCUGGCGGCGUGCCUAACACAUGCAAGUCGAGCGCGAAAGGAGCAAUCCGAGUAGAGCGGCGCACGGGUGCGUAACACGUGGGUAAUCUGCCUUAGAGUCGAGGAUAACUUUCCGAAAGGUUAGCUAAUACUCGGUAAGCUUACGGUGUCUUCGGACGCUGUGGGAAAAGUAGGCCUCUAUUUAUAUGCUUACGCUCUGAGAUGAGCCCGCGGCCCAUCAGCUAGUUGGCGGGUAACGGCCCACCAAGGCAACGACGGGUAGCUGGUCUGAGAGGACGAUCAGCCACACUGGAACUGAGACACGGUCCAGACUCCUACGGGAGGCAG